rnacentral:rRNA from 1 species
CUGGUUGAUCCUGCCAGUAGUCAUAUGCUUGUCUCAAAGACUAAGCCAUGCAUGUCUAAGUAUAAGUGUUAUACAGCGAAACUGCGAAUGGCUCAUUAAAACAGUUAUAGUUUAUUUGAUAAUCGAAUUUACAUGGAUAACCGUGGUAAUUCUAGAGCUAAUACAUGCUGGUAGGCCCGACUUUUGCGGAAGGGCGGUAUUUAUUAGAUAACAAGCCAAUAUUCCUCUGGUCUAUUGUGGUGACUCAUAAUAACUGAUCGAAUCGCAAGGCCUUUGGCCGCGAUAAGUCAUUCAAGUUUCUGCCCCAUCAGCUUUCGAUGGUAGUGUAUUGGACUACCAUGGCGUUUACGGGUAACGGAGGAUUAGGGUUCGAUUCCGGAGAGGGAGCCUGAGAAACGGCUACCACAUCUAAGGAAGGCAGCAGGCGCGUAAAUUACCCAAUCCUGACUCAGGGAGGUAGUGACAAGAAAUAACGGACCGAGGCCUUCGGGCUUCGGGAUUGGAAUGAGCCGAAUUUACACCCCUUAGCGAAGAUCGAUUGGAGGGCAAGUCUGG